rnacentral:tRNA from 1 species
GCAUUUGUAGCUCAAUGACAGAGCGCCGGUCUUGUAAGCCGGACGCGGAGGUUCAACUCCUCCCUUUUGCU